AACGGAGAGGGCGAGUGUUACUCGACUUGACUGGGUGUAAAGGGUGCGUAGGCUGUUACUUAAGUAAUAAAUAAAAUCCUGCUAUUUAUUAUACUAUUUAACUCGAGUUAAUGAGAAGAUAACAGAAUCUUAAGUGGAAAGGUGGCAUUUUAGAUAUUUAAGAGACUCUCAAUAGGCGAAGGCAGUUAUCUAUUGUUACACUGACGCUGAGGCACAAAAGCGUGGGGAUCAAAUAGG
rnacentral:rRNA from 1 species